rnacentral:tRNA from 1 species
GGGGUGGUAGUCUAGCCUGGUAUGAUGCUUGGUUCGGGACCAAGAGGUCGUGGGUUCAAAUCCCAUCCACCCCAC